UUAAGUUAGAAAGGGCGCACGGUGGAUGCCUUGACACUAGGAGUCGAUGAAGGACGGGACUAACGCCGAUAUGCUUCGGGGAGCUGUAAGUAAGCUUUGAUCCGAAGAUUUCCGAAUGGGGAAACCCACCAUACGUAAUGGUAUGGUAUCCUUAUCUGAAUACAUAGGGUAAGGAAGACAGACCCAGGGAACUGAAACAUCUAAGUACCUGGAGGAAGAGAAAGCAAAUGCGAUUUCCUGAGUAGCGGCGAGCGAAACGGAACAUAGCCCAAACCAAGAGGCUUGCCUCUUGGGGUUGUAGGACAUUCUAUACGGAGUUACAAAGGAACGAGGUAGACGAAGCGACCUGGAAAGGUCCGUCGUAGAGGGUAACAACCCCGUAGUCGAAACUUCGUUCUCUCUUGAAUGUAUCCUGAGUACGGCGGAACACGUGAAAUUCCGUCGGAAUCUGGGAGGACCAUCUCCCAAGGCUAAAUACUCCCUAGUGAUCGAUAGUGAACCAGUACCGUGAGGGAAAGGUGAAAAGCACCCCGGAAGGGGAGUGAAAGAGAUCCUGAAACCGUGUGCCUACAAAUAGUCAGAGCCCGUUAACGGGUGAUGGCGUGCCUUUUGUAGAAUGAACCGGCGAGUUACGAUCCCGUGCGAGGUUAAGCUGAAGAGGCGGAGCCGCAGCGAAAGCGAGUCUGAAUAGGGCGUUUAGUACGUGGUCGUAGACCCGAAACCAGGUGAUCUACCCAUGUCCAGGGUGAAGUUCAGGUAACACUGAAUGGAGGCCCGAACCCACGCACGUUGAAAAGUGCGGGGAUGAGGUGUGGGUAGCGGAGAAAUUCCAAUCGAACCUGGAGAUAGCUGGUUCUCCCCGAAAUAGCUUUAGGGCUAGCCUUAAGUGUAAGAGUCUUGGAGGUAGAGCACUGAUUGGACUAGGGGUCCUCAUCGGAUUACCGAAUUCAGUCAAACUCCGAAUGCCAAUGACUUAUCCUUAGGAGUCAGACUGCGAGUGAUAAGAUCCGUAGUCAAAAGGGAAACAGCCCAGACCGCCAGCUAAGGUCCCAAAGUGUGUAUUAAGUGGAAAAGGAUGUGGAGUUGCUUAGACAACUAGGAUGUUGGCUUAGAAGCAGCCACCAUUUAAAGAGUGCGUAAUAGCUCACUAGUCGAGUGACUCUGCGCCGAAAAUGUACCGGGGCUAAAUACACCACCGAAGCUGCGGAUUGAUACCAAUGGUAUCAGUGGUAGGGGAGCGUUCUAAGGACAGUGAAGUCAGACCGGAAGGACUGGUGGAGUGCUUAGAAGUGAGAAUGCCGGUAUGAGUAGCGAAAGACGGGUGAGAAUCCCGUCCACCGAAUGCCUAAGGUUUCCUGAGGAAGGCUCGUCCGCUCAGGGUUAGUCAGGACCUAAGCCGAGGCCGACAGGCGUAGGCGAUGGACAACAGGUUGAUAUUCCUGUACCACCUCUUUAUCGUUUGAGCAAUGGAGGGACGCAGAAGGAUAGAAGAAGCGUGCGAUUGGUUGUGCACGUCCAAGCAGUUAGGCUGAUAAGUAGGCAAAUCCGCUUAUCGCAAAGGCUGAGCUGUGAUGGGGAAGCUCCUUAUGGAGCGAAGUCUUUGAUUCCCCGCUGCCAAGAAAAGCUUCUAGCGAGAUAAAAGGUGCCUGUACCGCAAACCGACACAGGUAGGCGAGGAGAGAAUCCUAAGGUGUGCGAGAGAACUCUGGUUAAGGAACUCGGCAAAAUGACCCCGUAACUUCGGGAGAAGGGGUGCUUUCUUAACGGAAAGCCGCAGUGAAUAGGCCCAAGCGACUGUUUAGCAAAAACACAGCUCUCUGCGAAGCCGUAAGGCGAAGUAUAGGGGGUGACACCUGCCCGGUGCUGGAAGGUUAAGGAGAGGGGUUAGCGUAAGCGAAGCUCUGAACUGAAGCCCCAGUAAACGGCGGCCGUAACUAUAACGGUCCUAAGGUAGCGAAAUUCCUUGUCGGGUAAGUUCCGACCCGCACGAAAGGUGUAACGAUUUGGGCACUGUCUCAACCAGAGACUCGGUGAAAUUAUAGUACCUGUGAAGAUGCAGGUUACCCGCGACAGGACGGAAAGACCCCGUGGAGCUUUACUGUAGCCUGAUAUUGAAUUUUGGUACAGUUUGUACAGGAUAGGCGGGAGCCAUUGAAACCGGAGCGCUAGCUUCGGUGGAGGCGCUGGUGGGAUACCGCCCUGACUGUAUUGAAAUUCUAACCUACGGGUCUUAUCGACCCGGGAGACAGUGUCAGGUGGGCAGUUUGACUGGGGCGGUCGCCUCCUAAAGUGUAACGGAGGCGCCCAAAGGUUCCCUCAGAAUGGUUGGAAAUCAUUCGUAGAGUGCAAAGGCAUAAGGGAGCUUGACUGCGAGACCUACAAGUCGAGCAGGGACGAAAGUCGGGCUUAGUGAUCCGGUGGUUCCGCAUGGAAGGGCCAUCGCUCAACGGAUAAAAGCUACCCCGGGGAUAACAGGCUUAUCUCCCCCAAGAGUCCACAUCGACGGGGAGGUUUGGCACCUCGAUGUCGGCUCAUCGCAUCCUGGGGCUGUAGUCGGUCCCAAGGGUUGGGCUGUUCGCCCAUUAAAGCGGUACGCGAGCUGGGUUCAGAACGUCGUGAGACAGUUCGGUCCCUAUCCGUCGUGGGCGUAGGAAAUUUGAGAGGAGCUGUCCUUAGUACGAGAGGACCGGGAUGGACGCACCGCUGGUGUACCAGUUGUUCUGCCAAGGGCAUAGCUGGGUAGCUAUGUGCGGAAGGGAUAAGUGCUGAAAGCAUCUAAGCAUGAAGCCCCCCUCAAGAUGAGAUUUCCCAUAGCGUAAGCUAGUAAGAUCCCUGAAAGAUGAUUAGGUUGAUAGGUUCGAGGUGGAAGCAUGGUGACAUGUGGAGCUGACGAAUACUAAUAGAUCGAGGACUUAACCAU
rnacentral:rRNA from 1 species